rnacentral:rRNA from 1 species
UACGUAGGGGGCAAGCGUUGUCCGGAAUUAUUGGGCGUAAAGAGCGCGUAGGCGGUCCGAUAAGUCGGCUGUGAAAGUCAGGGGCUCAACCCUUGAAAGCCGGCCGAUACUGUCGGACUAGAGUCCGGAAGAGGCAAGUGGAAUUCCCGGUGUAGCGGUGAAAUGCGCAGAUAUCGGGAGGAACACCAAUGGCGAAGGCAGCUUGCUGGGACGGUACUGACGCUGAGACGCGAAAGCGUGGGGAGCAAACAGG